UAAUAGCCCCGAUAGAAGCGGAUACCCCACAGCGAAGAGGCGGAGCAAAGCGGAGCCUCUGAGCGAGGAGUAUGAGCGGAUAGCGGGAAAUAGC
rnacentral:sRNA from 1 species